rnacentral:rRNA from 1 species
UCCUCCCUCUUUCUUCGUGCUUAACACAUGCAAGUCGAACGGUGAAGGGACCAGCUUGCUGGUUCUGGAUGAGUGGCGAACGGGUGAGUAACACGUGAGUAACCUGCCCCCUUCUUCUGGAUAACCGCAUGAAAGUGUGGCUAAUACGGGAUAUUCUGGGUCUGUCGCAUGGCGGGCCCGGGAAAGAUAUUGCUUCGGUGGGGGAUGGGCUCGCGGCCUAUCAGCUUGUUGGUGGGGUGAUGGCCUACCAAGGCGGUGACGGGUAGCCGGCCUGAGAGGGUGGACGGUCACACUGGGACUGAGACACGGCCCAGACUCCUACGGGAGGCAGCAGUGGGGAAUAUUGCACAAUGGGCGCAAGCCUGAUGCAGCGACGCCGCGUGAGGGAUGGAGGCCUUCGGGUUGUAAACCUCUUUCGCCAGUGAAGCAGGCCUGCUCCUUGUGGGUGGGUUGACGGUAGCUGGAUAAGAAGCGCCGGCUAACUACGUG